rnacentral:rRNA from 1 species
GAUGAACGCUAGCUACAGGCUUAGCACAUGCAAGUCGAGGGGUAACGAGAGGAAAGCUUGCUUUCCUUGUCGACGACCGGCGCACGGGUGAGUAACGCGUAUCCAACCUGCCCCCAACUAGGGAAUAACCUUGCGAAAGUAAGACUAAUACCCUAUAAUUUCCUCAGAUGUCAUCUGACGAGGAAUAAAGAUUUAUCGGUUGUGGAUGGGGAUGCGUCUGAGUAGCUUGUUGGCGGGGUAACGGCCCACCAAGGCAACGAUCAGGAGGGGUUCUGAGAGGAAGGUCCCCCACAUUGGAACUGAGACACGGUCCAAACUCCUACGGGAGGCAGCAGUGAGGAAUAUUGGUCAAUGGGCGGAAGCCUGAACCAGCCAAGUAGCGUGCAGGAUGACGGCCCUAUGGGUUGUAAACUGCUUUUAUACAGGAAUAAAGUUAGCCACGUGUGGUUAUUUGUAGGUACUGUAUGAAUAAGGACCGGCUAAUUCCGUGCCAGCCGCCGCCGUAA